AUGCGACCUCAAAUCAAGCGAGACUGCCCAUUCCUU
rnacentral:rRNA from 1 species